GCGAGCCGUAUGCGGGGAAACUCGCAUGUACGGUUCUUCGGGGGCCGCGUUUCUGGAAGGGGACGCGGCUACCCUCU
rfam:Burkholderia fungorum strain ATCC BAA-463 chromosome 3, complete sequence.